ACUAUUUUGACAGAAAAAUGUAAUGAUUUUAGAAUUCAUAAAUGUAUAAUAAUUAUAUACAAAUAGUA
rnacentral:tRNA from 1 species